ACAGAGGGAAGCAACAUGAUUAAAGCAAUUGCUUUUGGCCUCUAUGACCUUGAUACCUGGUAUCAUUCUCCAUAUCCUGAAGAAUAUGCACGGCUGGGAUGUCUCUAUAUGUGUGAAUUCUGCUUAAAAUAUAUGAAGAGCCAAACGAUACUCCACCGGCACAUGGCCAAAUGUGUGUGGAAACACCCACCUUGUGAUGAGAUAUAUCGCAAAGGUUCAAUCUCUGUGUUUGAAGUAGAUGGCAAGAAAAACAAGAUCUACUGCCAAAACCUGUGUCUGUUGGCCAAACUUUUUCUGGACCACAAGACAUUACAUUAUGAUGUGGAGCCCUUCCUGCUCUAUGUUAUGACAGAGGCGGACAAUACUGGCUGUCACCUGACUGGAUGUUUUUCCAAGGAAAAGAAUUCAUUCCUCAACUGCAACAUAUCCUGUAUCCUUACUAUGCCUCAGUACAUGAGACAGGGCUAUGGCAAGAUGCUUAUUGAUUUCAGUUAUUUGCUUUCCAAAGUUGAAGAAAAAGUUGGCUCCCCAGAACAUCCAUUCUUAGAUCUGGGGCUUAUAAGCUAUCGCAGUUACUGGAAAGAAGUACUUCUCUGCUACCUGCAUAAUUUCCAAGGCAAAGAGAUUUCUAUCAAAGAAAUCAGUCAGGAGACGGCUAUGAAUGCUGUGGACAUUGUCAGCACUCUGCAAGCCCUUCAGAUCCUCAAGUACUAUAAGGGAAAACACCUAGUUUUAAAGAGACAGGACCUGAUUGAUGAGUGGAUAGCCAAAGAGGCCAAAAGGUCCAACUCCAAUAAAACCAUGGAUCCCAGCUGCUUAAAAUGGACCCCUCCCAAGGGCACUGAAAGUGACCUGCCAUUCCAAGCCAGCGAACCCCAGCAGUAG